CUGAGGAGGGGAGAGGGGGGUGAGUGAGGCAACUGUUCCCAGUACAUUUUGCUUCCCCAUCAGAGAGUAUUGCAAAAAGCAAUAGGAGAAAUGAUGGACAUCAAUGCACCAUCUGCUCUCAGUAGAGUCUGUUAGCUUCUAUUAAUGUUUACAUGUUGAGUACAGACUUAGUCUAAAUUCCCAUUAUACUUCACAACAGCUCACUGGCAACUAAACACACAGAAUAAAACUACAAUCUAUUGGAAUGAGGAUGUUCUGCAGUGCAGUACUAUCCUGUCUAGUGUUUUGGGGAAGUCUGUUGGCUCUACACUCCUGACAUUCUAAUGAACUUGCUGGUGUUGACCUUCCUGAACAGGUAGGUACAGUCAUCAGGUGAUAUCAUGUGACCAGGAACAAGAGGGAAUAGACCUGUACUCACCUGAUACAAGUCAUAAUGCAUAGCACUAGACAAACUCCACCUUACUCAAACACAGA